rnacentral:lncRNA from 1 species
GUUCACUGCCACGUUCAUCUUCCUCUAUGUCAGCAUCGCCACCGUCAUCGGCUACAAGAGCCAGGCCGCCGCCGAAACGUGCACCGGCGUCGGCUACCUCGGCGUGGCCUGGUCCUUCGGCGCCACCAUCUUCGUCCUCGUCUACUGCACCGGCGGCGUCUCAGGCACGUCGUCCAAGCAUCUCUAAGUACAAUAACAUAUUUUAUACGGAGUACUAACGGAGAUAGUUUUGCACAUAUUUACGUUACGAUGUAUGAACUCCGGUGCAUGCAUGGUACAGGCGGGCACAUAAACCCGGCGGUGACGUUCGGGCUGCUGGUGGGGAGGAAGCUGUCGCUGGUGCGCGCCGUGCUGUACAUCGUGGCGCAGUGCCUGGGGGCCAUCUGCGGCGCGGGGCUCGUGAAGGGGAUCACGGGCCGCAGCUACGAGACACUCGGCGGCGGCGCCAACUCCGUGUCCGACGGGUUCUCGGUGGGCGCAGCGUUCGGCGCAGAGAUCGCCGGCACGUUCGUUCUCGUCUACACCGUGCUCUCCGCCACAGACCCCAAGCGCACCGCCCGCGACUCCUUCAUCCCCGUACGCGUGUUGAUUUCAUCUUCUUGCAUGCUUGCAUGCCGUAUACCCGUGGUUUCCGAGUGGUUGACUUGAGCGUGCUCUGUUUUCCUCUGCUCUGUGUGUGUGUUUGUUCAGGUGUUGGUGCCGCUACCGAUUGGGUUCGCGGUGUUCGUGGUGCACCUGGCGACAAUACCGAUCUCGGGGACGGGGAUCAACCCGGCCAGGAGCCUCGGCGCCGCCGUCAUGUACAACCAGCACAAAGCCUGGAAAGACCACGUGAGCAAACCACUAAGAUUGCAUCCACGCACGUAAUUAACCUUGGCAACAACCAUGCAUAUAUACCGAUUUUUGAUUGGUUGAUUAUUCUUGCAGUGGAUAUUCUGGGUGGGGCCGCUCCUCGGCGCGACCGUGGCGGCGUUCUACCACCGGUUCGUGCUGCGCGGCGAGGCCGCCAAGGCGCUGGGCUCGUUCAGGAGCACCGGCGCUGCGACCGCACGAACCUAACCAAGGAGCGAGCACACACGUACGCAUGCAUCCGUGUAAUCGAAGCUGCUUAAUUUGGUCGGCCCGGGCGUCCCUGUUUGAUUCUUGGUUCUACUACUUUGCUUGGUUCAUGCUGUCUUGUGUAACUUUGGACUGUUGCUUGCAUGUGCAUGCACGGGUGGUCCCUUCUGUUGUCUGUUGUCUCUUCGAUUAAUCUAUGCAAUUACACUUCGGUGAUUACAUCGCUACAUAUGUCUGUGUAUGGACGAAAGUUCCUACAUGUACUCUCCGUGGGAUGCAACAAAAACAAAUUUAUGUCAGAAUCGUUUGAACAACCAUUUGGACUUGGCACGGUUGCAGUAGCUGACUGUGUUGUUUCAAAUUUAGUUAUCGGUUUUGCUAUAAAAAAACUGUAUGUUUUUAGUGUGACCAGUCCGCGUGUUUGCAUUGGCCGCCGGAUCUUAAUCCAAGGAUGUCACAUGGUAGAGGUGUGAGUAAUCGUGAUUCUCAGAUCUUAAUUCAACGGUUCUGAUACAUUCAUACCCGAUCAAAUAUAUGUUUUUUUUUGCUUCAAAAACAGGGGAUUGAGAAAUAGCCACACCCUUAUUUUAUACAAUCCGUAUCGGUUUACCAAUUUUUCAACCGGAGAACGUUUUGUACCUCGCGGUCCAGCCGAACGAGCCGGAUAGCGAUGCAAAACAGAGAAAAUUAAAUAACACCUACCAACAUCCGGCACUCAACCAAGAGGUGGAGCCGGAAAAAAGAGCACCCAAACGCUCCUCGGAUUGGCGGAAGGACUGACGCAAAACACGAAGAAGAAUUGUUGAUGCGUGUUUAAUACUUUUCCCCGAGCAAAAGAAAUGCCUAACGAAAGUUUUCAUAGUAAAAUUUUAUUUGGGAAAGCUUCGUGUACACCCGGGCGCACCACGCCAAUAUUCUAACACAAACGCAUGCGCUUUGAGAUUCGUGCGGGAGAGAGAGAGAGAGAGAGUGCUUCCCAAACCGACGCGUCACCCCGCUGCGGCGCUGCGAAGCUGGAGAGGCGCGAUAAUGCAGUACACCGGCAGGAGAUGGAGUGCGAGUGCAGAACCGCCGGCAGGAGAUAGAUGGUGCAAGUGCUGAACCACCGAUGCAGUGUGCUUUGGGCGUUGAUCUCAAAGUUCUGCGGAUGGCCCGGGAUUGUGAGUGCAACACCUUUGGGUUCUAAAAAUCCACUCUCUUUAUUUUUGUUUAUGUGCAACAACAGUGAUCACAGUUGUAUGCCUUUCUGUUUUCCCAUGUUGGUAGAUCAGAGAUACCACUAGCAAGUGAGUUAGGUGAAAUACACUAAUUAACAUAACUAGGGAAAAACCCACCUACCAGUCGGCGCUGAAUCGUCAGGAUACACUAAUAUUUCAAAUGAUGUGUGUCAAAAACAUUACGAAAAAUACAUUAUCCGUGUUUGAUGUGAAUUACAGCUAUAUCUAAGUCACUUAGGUUGAGAUAAGUCGAUUUCUCAAACACUGGAUAUGGUUUGUGCUUUAAGAUUUAGAGCGGACAAUGGAAAGUGGAGGGUAGAAUAACGUUCAAAUACUGAUCCAACAAUUUUGAUGCAUCAACUGGAAUUUAAAACUUUUGGUUGAAAAUUAGACGCUUGAGACAUAACCACUGGAUUACGAUUAUAUCUUGUUCUUAAAUGCACAAACACUCUAACACUAGUGUUUCCUGACAUUUGUGGAGGCGCAAACAAAAGGAAUCUAUACACAAAGUCAGAAACGAAUUAAAAACGUCAUGUAACACGUAGAAUCUCUGUACAUGCUAGUUAAUCAUUUCGAGGUCACAUACGGGCGUCGCCGAAACUGGGCUAGGAUCGACCGUGCCCCUUUUUCCAGUUGAUUAAAGCAAAGCAAAACUGAUUUACAUGUUCUAGAGAAGACGCCUAAGGUUUGCUAGGCUAGCUAGUCUUGUUCGAUCUUUAGCUCUGUCUUUUUUUUAGGAAUCUUUAGCUGAUCUGUCGAGCCGUCUUGUCGCAUUUUGGAGUGCCUCUCUCAUCCCUUCUUCAUCACAAGAUCAAGCGUCGACGGCCACUCGCUUUUGUUGAUUUUCGUUAAAACGAAACAAAAGGUAUUAUAUUCCAAUGCAACGGCGAGAGCAACCUCCUGCCUCAAAAUAUCUAGUACCUACCUGGCUACCUCUAGCUCAUCGGCUCGUGUAUUUAAACAUCGCCUACCACCUCGCUCUGUUCGCGCCAAGAACACACCAGCACUAGCUAGCCUGCGCGUACCUACUGACCUAAUUAAGUUCUUCAGGUUGCAUAAUGCCGAACACGAAGGAGGAGGUGGCCGCCGCCAAACUCGCCAAGCAGGCCACCCUGACGGCGCCGUACUGGGACCCUCCGGCGGAGCUGCUGGACAGGAGCGAGCUGUCCCGUUGGUCCCUGUACCGCGCCGUCAUCGCCGAGUUCAUGGCCACGCUCAUCUUCCUCUACAUCAGCAUCGCCACGGUCAUCGGCUACAAGAGCCAGGCCGCCGCCCAAGCGUGCACCGGCGUCGGCUACCUCGGCGUGGCCUGGUCCUUCGGCGCCACCAUCUUCGUCCUCGUCCACUGCACCGGCGGCCUCUCAGGCGGGC